GUGAGGAAUAUUGGUCAAUGGGCGGAAGCCUGAACCAGCCAAGUCGCGUGAAGGAAGAAGGAUCUAUGGUUUGUAAACUUCUUUUGAAGGGGGAUAAAGUGCGUCACGAGUGGUGCAUUGCAGGUACCCUUGGAAUAAGCAUCGGCUAACUCCGUGCCAGCAGCCGCGGUAAUACGGAGGAUGCGAGCGUUAUCCGGAUUUAUUGGGUUUAAAGGGUGCGUAGGUGGCUUUUUAAGUCAGCGGUGAAAACUGGCGGCUCAACCGCAAGAGUGCCGUUGAAACUGGGGAGCUAGAGUAUGAACGAGGUAGGCGGAAUGUGUGGUGUAGCGGUGAAAUGCAUAGAUAUCACGCAGAACUCCGAUAGCGAAGGCAGCUUACCAGGCCAUAACAGACACUGAAGCACGAAAGCGUGGGGAUCGAACAGGAUUAGAAACCCGGGUAGUCC
rnacentral:rRNA from 1 species